rnacentral:rRNA from 1 species
AGCAUGGAGAGCCCGCUACUACGUGCAGCAGCGCGUAUACGUAGGGGCGAGCGUGUCGAUGACUGGCGUAAAGGGCGUGUAGUGCUAUAGUAUCAGGUGGAAGUCCCGAAUUCAAAGCGGGAAUUGCCUGGUAGACUGUAGGGCUUGAGUGUGGGAGAGGAUAGCGGAAUUCCCGGUGUAGCGGUGAAAUGCGUAGAGAUCGGGAGGAACACCAGUGGCGAAGGCGGCUAUCUGGACCAAGACUGACACUGAGGCGCGAAAGCGUGGGUAGCAAACAGGAUUAGAUACCCUGGUAGUCCACGCUGUAAACGAUGGAUGCUAGGUGUAGGAGGUAUCGACCCCUUCUGUGCCGCAGUUAACGUAAUAAGCAUCCCGCCUGGGGAGUACGGCCGCAAGGUUGAAACUCAAAGGAAUUGACGGGACCCCGCACAAGCAGCGGAGCAUGUGGUUUAAUUCGACGCAACGCGAAGAACCUUACCAGGUCUUGACAUCGAAGGAAUGCGCAGAGAUGCGCAGUGCCCGCAAGGGAGCCUGAAGACAGGUGGUGCAUGGUUGUCGUCAGCUCGUGUCGUGAGAUGUUGGGUUAAGUCCCGCAACGAGCGCAACCCUUGCCGUCAGUUACUAACGGGUAAAGCCGAGGACUCUGACGGGACUGCCGUGGACAACACGGAGGAAGGUGGGGAUGACGUCAAAUCAUCAUGCCCCUUAUGACCUGGGCUACACACGUGCUACAAUGGCCGGAACAAAGAGGUACGAAUACGCAAGUAAGAGUGGAUCUCAAAAACCGGUCUCAGUUCAGAUUGUGGGCUGCAACCCGCCCACAUGAAGUCGGAGUUGCUAGUAAUCGCGAAUCAGCAUGUCGCGGUGAAUACGUUCCCGGGGUUUGUACACACCGCCCGUCACACCAUGGGAGUUGGGAGCGCCCGAAGCGGGUGAGAUAACCGCAAGGGGUCAGCCUCGAAGCGAGACCA